GCUCGCUGGUGAAGUAGAGGAAGGUGACGGCCACGCACACGGACUGCAGGAGCACGGCGGCCACCAGCACGGCCCCGCAGGAGAGGUGCUGCAACCCUCUGAGCAUCCUCUGGAUUCACCCCAGCAGGUCCCUGUCCUUCCUGAGCUGUCCUAUCCUCUGCAGUUCUCCUGUAUUGCUGGUACAUCACAAAAAAGUGAUUGUAAGCCAAUAACCAUUACCAGGAGCUCCUUCCCAGUGCUACCAGUGCUUCUGCACCCUGGUCAUGUCACAAUUAUUGCCACACCACAUGGGCAUCAGAAUCAGUGCAUGAGAUUGCCAUGGAGAAGGCUGGGGAAGAUGUUUGGGCCCUUAUUAAAACUACAUGGACAUAAAUCCAUAUGCAGGAGUUCAGCUUGAGGUCUAUAUUUUGUGCCAGUAUUGCCUGACUGGGUAAGAUUUUGCACUUCUUUAGUUUCCUGGAUAAUUUUGGGGUUUGGGUAUAUACUG